rnacentral:rRNA from 1 species
AGUAACGCGUGGGUAACCUGCCUCAUACAGGGGGAUAACAGUUAGAAAUGACUGCUAAUACCGCAUAAGCGCACAGGACCGCAUGGUCAAGUGUGUAAAACUCCGGUGGUAUGAGAUGGACCCGCGUCUGAUUAGCUGGUUGGUGAGGUAAUGGCCCACCAAGGCGACGAUCAGUAGCCGACCUGAGAGGGUGGCCGGCCACAUUGGGACUGAGACACGGCCCAAACUCCUACGGAAGGCAGCAG